rnacentral:rRNA from 1 species
UACGUAGGUGGCAAGCGUUGUCCGGAUUUACUGGGCGUAAAGAGCGCGCAGGCGGUCGUUCAAGUCGCGUGUGAAAGCCCCCGGCUCAACUGGGGAGGGUCACGCGAUACUGAUCGACUCGAAGGCAGGAGAGGGUAGUGGAAUUCCCGGUGUAGUGGUGAAAUGCGUAGAUAUCGGGAGGAACACCAGUGGCGAAGGCGACUACCUGGCCCGGUACUGACGCUGAGGCGCGAAAGCUAGGGUAGCAAACAGG